ensembl:piRNA 21ur-5488 ncRNA
UUGGUGCCUAUUGCUAGAAUC